UUUUAUGGAGAGUUUGAUCCUGGCUCAGGAUGAACGCUGGCGGCGUGCCUAAUACAUGCAAGUCGAGCGAACGGACGAGAAACUUGCUUCUCUGAUGUUAGCGGCGGACGGGUGAGUAACACGUGGAUAACCUACCUAUAAGACUGGGAUAACUUCGGGAAACCGGAGCUAAUACCGGAUAAUAUUUUGAACCGCAUGGUUCAAAAGUGAAAGACNGUCUUGCUGUCACUUAUAGAUGGAUCCGCGCUGCAUUAGCUAGUUGGUAAGGCAACGGCUUACCAAGGCAACGAUGCAUAGCCGACCUGAGAGGGUGAUCGGCCACACUGGAACUGAGACACGGUCCAGACUCCUACGGGAGGCAGCAGUAGGGAAUCUUCCGCAAUGGGCGAAAGCCUGACGGAGCAACGCCGCGUGAGUGAUGAAGGUCUUCGGAUCGUAAAACUCUGUUAUUAG
rnacentral:rRNA from 1 species